rnacentral:rRNA from 1 species
UACGGAGGGUGCGAGCGUUAAUCGGAAUCACUGGGCGUAAAGCGCACGUAGGCGGCGCAUCAAGUCAGACGUGAAAGCCCUCGGCUCAACCGAGGAAUUGCGUUUGAAACUGGUGGGCUCGAGUCCUGGAGAGGGUGGCGGAAUUCCCGGUGUAGGAGUGAAAUCCGUAGAUAUCGGGAGGAACACCAGUGGCGAAGGCGGCCAACUGGACGAGUACUGACGCUGAGGUG